rnacentral:rRNA from 1 species
AUGACCGGUAUAGGGAUUACUAAGGGGACUAAAGAAACAAGAACAACAAUGACUAAUUCAAACGCCAAUAUAUUCCCAAAACAAAAGCUAAGCGAUAAUGGUUUUGUGAAAUCUUCUAUGAUGUUAAUUGGUAAAAGGAUUGGAGUUGGUUUAAUAUAUUUCUUAAAAAAGCUCAAUCUUUUUUGCUAA